GACUGUCUCAUUUUCUAGGAGUGUCACUGUCAAGUGAAUGGAUCUUUCACUGUUUAAUGGCCUAUAGCAGGCAGUCUAGAAUGGCAGUAAUUUCAGUGUUGGAGGGUGGGGAUCAGGGAAAUACAGCAGUGGCCUAAGAUUUGUCUGGAUUCUGUAUGAGAAGGGAGACAGCCCUGGGAGAACAGAAUGAGGCAGGCAGGGGUCACAAAUGGAACUUGGCAAUCACGCGUAGACCCGCAAGGCCUGGGAAGUAAGCAGACAGGACUUGUAACUGUGGUGUGAUUUAACCUAGUCCAGCGCUUUAACUAUGCUGGAGUUGGAGCACAGUAAAUCAUUUAGGAAUGCAAACCUUGGUUAUUGCUGUUGAAAGGGAAUUCUGAAACUGAACAGCCUGAGAAAGGCGAGAAAUGUUUUCCCAGUCUUUGGGAGGCUUGGCUUUGGGAGUUGGUGUCUGGUUCCAUUCCUGGCACGCAGUCCCCACGAGUGCUGCUCACCACAGAAGGGAGGCCAGAAUGAAAGGGAGUCUCGAACUUUACGUUUCUUUUGUCUGAGCAUCUUGAGUAGAUAACUGAAUGGAUCGUACCUCCUCCCUGUUGCAGUUUUCUCCCACACAACCCCUGAAAGCAUAACUUUAUCCUCUAGAAAUUUAUGGUAUGGCAUCAUAUUGGGAGUCUUGAACCGAAAAGCACUUUCUCACGGUUUACUGAUGGAAGAGUUUCCAGCUGUCCAGAGAGCUGAGGCCAGCACAAGUCUCUAGAGGGUCCCUUUGGAAAACUGCUGUGGUAACUGGUUUUUAUCAUAGACUCUGCAGCUGCAUUGGCUGAAUUUUAACCCCUGGAACUUAAAUGGUUAACAAUAACAUAAAGUCUUUUGAAAGUUUAAAAACAGUUUCUGGUGGUGUAGAGUAACUAGGGAGUGCCCUGUGGCUGGCUAGCAGCAAAGGCUGGACGUGAGCUGACCCUAGCCAAAAUUUUGGAGUUGUGCUCAUUACAAAAAGAAUAAGGUUUAUACAUUGGCCAAAAUAGUUUACUAUUAAAACGUUGACUAUUUGUGUAUUUUUCACAUUUUAAACUGGGAUACUUUAGCACAGCAUAUGACUGUAUUUUAGCUAGGCCACGUCCUUUGUCUAGUUUCUUCCUUAUCCCUAAGCCCUGCUCUGAAAUAACUGUUAGCUGCCCACCCCCACCCCCAGUGGCCAAGCUUAAUGCAUACUUCAAAGGACAGCAAAGGACAGCCGCCACUGGGGAGUUUCCACUUUCUUUUUGGGUGUUAUUGGUGACCUCAGCUUCAUUCAUUGGGCUUCCUUCAUGGCAGCUAAGUCAGUCCCACAGGCUUUCAGCUGCAGUUUUACAACCUGUCAAAACCAAGUUGCCUUUGCAUUAAGCAUGCUUUUCUUUGAAGACUUAGAAACACUAUGACCUAUGGGUAUUGCAGCCUGAGCUUGGCUGAGACUGCCCACUGUGAAAGAGUUCAAGUUGUACAUGUGAGUGUCCCUGAUGGUUACCGUGAAUGGUGAAUGCUCUAGACCCUGCAUCACAUAUCCACCCACGCAGAGGACCGAAACAAACACUGCCUGGCCAUGUCUGAGGCAGCAUGUGUUCCUAUUCUGGCUUUUAUUUGCUGGGUUUUGUAUUGUUUGUUUGUUGUUAUUGGUGAUGGUGGUGUGUGCACACAUUCCAACAUGUGAAGAUGUCAGACCUCAGGCCUCAUCUUCCAUCCUGCUUGAGACAAUGGGAUGCCCGUUGUUUUGCCUCCACAUCCUCCAGAUUAGCUGGUACACAAGGCUCUGCAUCCUCUAGGCUAGCUGGCACACAAGGCUCUGCAUCCUCUAGGCUAGCUGGCACACAAGGCUCUGCAUCCUCCAGGCUAGCUGACACACAAGGCUCUGCAUCCUCCAGGUUACCUGACACACAAGGCUCUGCAUCCUCCAGGUUAGCUGGCACACAAGGCUCUGCAUUCUCCAGGCUAGCUGGCACACAAGGCUCUGCAUCCUCUAGGCUAGCUGACACAAGGCUCUGCAUCCUCCAGGUUAGCUGGCACACAAGGCUCUGCAUCCUCCAGGUUAGCUGGCACACAAGGCUCUGCAUCCUCUAGGCUAGCUGACACACAAGGCUCUGCAUCCUCUAGGCUAGCUGGCACAAGGCUCUGCAUCCUCCAGGUUAGCUGACACACAAGGCUCUGCAUCCUCUAGGCUAGCUGGCACACAAGGCUCUGC
rnacentral:lncRNA from 1 species